rnacentral:tRNA from 1 species
UAGGAAGUAGUGUAUCGGAAGCACUUAGAGUUUUGAUCUCUACAGGUCGGGUUCAAGUCCCUUCUUCCUAA